rnacentral:tRNA from 1 species
GGGCGACGAGCAGCAUUGGUGACUGCAGUGGACUGUAAAUCCGCCGUCUUUGUGCAUACGGGGUUCGAAUCCCUGGUCGCCCA